UGUAAAUGAGAACUUGUUCUCAACUGGCCUACCUGGUUAAAUAAAGGUGAAAUAAAAAAAUGAAGACCAUGAGUUGGUUGAUGCAGUCAUUUUGAGCGAGGAUGGAAGCCCCUCACGAAAGCAUCAAAGAUCUGAUGACGAGGCAAACAAUCUAAUAGAGAGCAUACUGAAGGAAAAGCCUGGUGGAGAGGUUGUCGUCAAGGAGUACUACAAAACUAAAAGCCUGAUUGACUGCACCAGACGAAAGAUGAUCAAUAUUCUUGUUUCGGCGAUGACAGACUCUCACGGGAACAAUAUUACGACCCUAAUAUUAAAGGGUACCUCUCGUAUAGAAUGAAAACCGUUCAGAGGUAUUUGGCUUCAUCUGAGAAACGGCCCACUCAACUAUACUAUGGAGGGCCAGCUGCUGAGAGGGAGUCCAGUUCAUCCACUUUGGCUACCCUGAGUGAAGACCGGUGCAGAGAUGCCAUUCCUCUUAUGAAGCAUUGUUCUGAUGAAGAAACAGUCAAACAGAAGAUGAGAUUGACCUUUGAGUACAGGAAGAAGAUGACCCACGACCCGAGUAAAUGCUCCACCAUCCUAACCGAAUUUCCACGCUUUCUGGAUGUGAAGGGCUUGAUUGAACAGUGUUUUGUGCUGCUGUUUGAAGAGGGAACAUCACGUUUUUGGAGAGGUGACCAACUAUAUUCAAGCAAAAGAUCAUCAUGAUAAGCAAGUCCACUCAGGGAGCUGAACUCCAGGAGCUGAUCCAGAUGGCAGAUUCUGCAGUUAAUGAGGGAGCUGACAUGAAUGCUGACGGAUGGGACGAUAACUUUUCCUUCAUCCUUCUCCUGCUCCAUUUGAUUCCUCCUUCAUCACAAGGCCGCAAAAGACCAGGCAAGAUGUCUGCAUCCCAAGCUGAACAGCAUCUUGGGAUAUUGCAAAAGUAUCCAAGAGCACCUUGAUGCGAUUGACCAGAGCCGCCAACCAUAUCUUCUUGCUGUCGGCACCAGGAAGAGCAGCAUCCAUACAUACUUCAUCAUCCUGGACAAGCAAACCUUGCCGUGCAAGUCAAUGAGCUCUCUUGGUGCCUUCAAUGACCUUUUCAUGGUACUGCUUAAAAUACAAUUCUGCGCAACAUGUACACCUUCAUACAGACAACUGUGUACAACAUAGACAUUGGGAAGGUUAAGGAGGCUCCAAGGGUUGCUGAGCUCAGAGCUAGACUCCUGCUCUAAUGCUGAUUAAAUUAUGAUGAUAUGUUUUGUUUGCCAUGCUAGUCAUGGAAGUACCAACUUGCUUGUGAAGCAUCUCAAGUUGAUGCAUGGAAUGUGCCCUGGUAGAACUCUUAGACUAAAAUGUGGUCAAGUAGAUUUGUGUAUUUGGUACAUUUUCAGGCUUUAAGGAAGCAUUUAAACUGGGCACAUUCCGGAGACUGACAAAUUUUGUUAAACGCUAACUUGGAUGCUAAUACAGCAGUUGAUAUCAGCCAAGUAAUCCGAAUUCUAGUUGCAACCAUGUUGUACCAAUAUCUAACAAGAACACACUUGAUAUGUGUGAGUCUGCUAUUGCACAACUCCAGGCUGCAGGUGUAGGUCAGACGACUGUAAAUAGUUGUGUAUCUUCCAUGGAAGAAGCGGUUCAAGAGAUACAGGGUCAAGUUAAAACAACCACUCUUACAUGUAUAUCUUCAAAAGACACAAACUAUCAGAAAAAUUCAACAUUCUUUUCAGAAUAUUGAAAAUCCUUUCACAUUGUUGAAUUCGGUAUCAUAACAAAGUGCUUAUAUCAUAAAAUUAAGAACAGUUCAACCAGUUGAGAAAGUCAUUGGUGUUAGAUUUGACAAUAGAAUAAACAAAACUACUGGAACUUAUGAUCAAAUAGUCAGAACUGAUACAUUGUCUUACAUUCUAAUUCUCCAGGCAUUGCAGUCAAUUUUGAAGAACCCAAACACAAGUGACAUGUUUAACUCAGGGCACAAUUUUAAAGAUGGGAGUUUACUUUGAUUUGUAAGCUGGACUAUACAGUGGGGCAAAAAAGUAUUUAGUCAGCCACCAAUUGUGCAAGUUCUCCCACUUAAAAAGAUGAGAGGCCUGUAAUUUUCAUCAUAGGUACACUUCAACUAUGACAGACAAAAUGAGAAAAAGAAAUCCAGAAAAUGUUAAUACAUUUAUUUUGCCCCACUGUAUAUGAAGAGACAUCUUCUCUUUUCUAAAAAGAGAAAUGCAUAGCAAAUUCAACUGUUUUAUGAUGGGGUGUCAGGUAGCCUAGUGGUUAGAGCUUUGGGCCAGUAACCAAAUGUUUGCUAGAUUGAAUCCCUGAGCUGACAUUCUUGAGCCAAUAGUAAGCCAUUUGAAAGUGCUUGAGACAGAGGGUAUUGAAGUUCCCUUCUUCAGUGGUCGUAUACAUGGCAGUAACUGGAGAUAAUCUUGGUAUACAUUGCCUGUUUGGUUUUGUGGAAUCAUUUAGUGCUCGUUAUUGUUGCCGUUUUUGCCUCACUGAGAAAGUGGAUUUUCAAACUGUGUUCUCUGAGGAUAACCCAAGAGUGACUUUAUGAAAAAAACACAUGCACUCAGACCCUUGUCAAACCCAACACUACCUCAUGUGUGCGGUGUGAAGCAUGCUUGCUUAUUGAACUCUCUGCAGUACUUAGUUACUACAGACAAUUAUUCUGUUGAUAUAAUGCAUGACAUUUUAUGAAUUGCACAAUGUUCGGUAACUUGUGUUACAGCAUAUACAAGCCAACUUUGUGACUGCUAAAGAUGUGUACGGUAGAGUUCAUUCAUUUAACUAUGGCUACACAGAGAGGAGGAAUUGUCCACCUGUAGUCAAAUUGGAUGAUGGGAGCAAUGAUUUGGGUCUAAAUGCUAUUCAGUCUUGGUGUCUUCUCUGUAAUUUGCCAUUGAUAUUUGGUGAUGUGGUACAGAAACAUGAAAAAUACUGGCAGCUGCUUCUGUUACUACUAAAAAUGGUAAAUAUUGUGUUUUCUCCUAUACUAACAGAGGGCAUAACUAUCUAUCUGAAGCAAUUAAUUGCUGAACAUCCUAGGCUUUUCAAGUAUUUGUUUCCUGAUAGAAAUCUGUUACCUGUAAUGGUUUUCCGUUGAAGGAGAGGAGGACCAAAGCGCAGCGUGGUUAGUGUUCAACAUGUUUAAUAAAGACAUUAAACAUGAACACUACAAAAAUACCAAAACAAUACAUGUGAAAAACCGAAACAGUCCUAUCUGGUGCAUCGACACAAAGGCAGAAGACAACCACCCCAAAAAAACACAACACAAAACAAGCUACCUAAAUAUGGUUCCCAAUCAGAGACAAUGACUAACACCUGUCUCUCAUUGAGAACCAUAUCAGGCCAAAUAUAGAAAUGGGAAAACUAGACACACAGCAUAGAAUGCCCACUCUGCUCACGUCCUGACCAACACUAAAACAAAGAAAACACAAAAGAACUAUGGUCAGAACGUGACAGUAC